rnacentral:rRNA from 1 species
UACGUAGGGGGCAAGCGUUGUCCGGAAUCAUUGGGCGUAAAGCGCGUGUAGGCGGUUCGGUAAGUCUGCUGUGAAAGUCCAGGGCUCAACCCUGGGAUGCCGGUGGAUACUGUCGGACUAGAGGACGGUAGAGGGGGGGUGGAAUUCCCGGUGUAGUGGUGAAAUGCGUAGAGAUCGGGAGGAACACCUGUGGCGAAGGCGGCCCCCUGGGCCGGCCCUGACACUGAGACGCGAAGGCGUGGGGGAGCGAACGGG